rnacentral:rRNA from 1 species
AUCAACUUUCGAUGGUAGGAUAGAGGCCUACCAUGGUGGUAACGGGUAACGGGGUGUUAGGGCACGACACCGGAGAGGGAGCCUGAGAAACGGCUACCACAUCCAAGGAUGGCAGCAGGCGCGCAAAUUACCCAAUCCCGACACGGGGAGGUAGUGACAAUAAAUAACAAUACGGGGUUCUUUCGGAUCUCGUAAUUGGAAUGAGUACAAUUUAAAUCUCUUAACGAGGAACAAUUGGAGGGCAAGUCUGGUGCCAGCAGCCGCGGUAAUUCCAGCUCCAAUAGCGUAUAUUAAAGUUGUUGCAGUUAAAAAGCUCGUAGUUGAAUUUCGGGAUCAAUUUAUUGGUCGUGCAAUCGUACGUACUGGUAUUAUUGAUUCCUACCUUCUGACGAACCAUGAUGUCGUUAAUUUGGUGUCAUGGGGAAUCAGGACUGUUACUUUGAAAAAAUUAGAGUGUUUAAAGCAGGCUCACGCUUGAAUACAUUAGCAUGGAAUAACGAAAUAGGACGUUUGAUUCUAUUUUGUUGGUUUCUAGGAUCGACGUAAUGAUUAAUAGGGAUAGUUGGGGGCAUUAGUAUUCAAUUGUCAGAGGUGAAAUUCUUGGAUUUAUUGAAGACUAACUACUGCGAAGCAUUUGCCAAGGAUGUUUUCAUUAAUCAAGAACGAAAGUUAGGGGAUCGAAGACGAUCAGAUACCGUCGUAGUCUUAACCAUAAACUAUGCCGACUAGGGAUCGGAUGAUGUUAAUUUUUUAAUGACUCAUUCGGCGCCUUACGGGAAACCAAAGUGUUUGGGUUC